CAAACGGCUCUUAUAAGAGCCACGCACACGUUAUCAUUGACGUCAACU
rfam:Gasterosteus aculeatus cont1.007295, whole genome shotgun sequence.